GCCCUGGUAGCUCAGCUGGUAAAGAAUCUGCCUGCAAAGCAGGAGACCCUGGUUCGAUUCCUGGGUUGGGAA
rnacentral:tRNA from 1 species